GACGAACGCUGGCGGCGUGCCUAACACAUGCAAGUCGAACGGAACUGUUUUGAAAGAUUUCUUCGGAAUGAAUUUGAUUUAGUUUAGUGGCGGACGGGUGAGUAACGCGUGAGUAACCUGCCUUCAAGAGGGGAAUAACAUUCUGAAAAGAAUGCUAAUACCGCAUGACAUAUCGGAACCACAUGGUUUUGAUAUCAAAGAUUUUAUCGCUUGAAGAUGGACUCGCGUCCGAUUAGUUAGUUGGUGAGGUAACGGCUCACCAAGACCGCGAUCGGUAGCCGGACUGAGAGGUUGAACGCCCACAUUGGGACUGAGACACGGCCCAGACUCCUACGGGAGGCAGCAGUGGGGGAUAUUGCGCAAUGGGGGCAACCCUGACGCAGCAACGCCGCGUGAAGGAUGAAGGUUUUCGGAUUGUAAACUUCUUUUAUUAAGGACGAAAAAUGACGGUACUUAAUGAAUAAGCUCCGGCUAACUACGUG
rnacentral:rRNA from 1 species